UUAACGCUAAUACCGCAUACGACCUACGGGUGAAAGUACAGGGGAGUCUUCGGACCUUGCGCGAUUGAAUGAGCCGAUGUCGGAUUAGCUAGUUGGCGGGGUAAAGGCCCACCAAGGCGACGAUCCGUAGCUGGUCUGAGAGGAUGAUCAGCCACACUGGAACUGAGACACGGUCCAGACUCCUACGGGAGGCAGCAGAU
rnacentral:rRNA from 1 species